CACGUAGUUGGCCGGAGCUUCUUCUGCAGGUACCGUCAUUUUCGUCCCUGCUGAAAGAGGUUUACAACCCGAAAGCCUUCAUCCCUCACGCGGCGUGGCUGCGUCAGGCUUUCGCCCAUCGCGCAAGAUUCCC
rnacentral:rRNA from 1 species